CAGCACCCUAGGCACCAGCCUCAGCAGGAUACUUCACACAGGAACAUCCAUUAGCCCUUCUCUAAAAUAAGGCCACUAAAAUGCCAGAAACACUCAGGGGUGAUGUGGAUGAGGUCACUUGUCAGCAAAGCUAAGGACAUAGAACACAGAACUGGGAACUAAUGUUCCAGAUCCUGCUGUAUUUGCCCUGGCUCCAAUGGAGACCCGAGUGGCAUAUCAGCCUUCCUCUUCACCCCCUGCUGAUGACCAGAAAUGCUGGAUGCUGUUUCCUUAAUAAGAUGAUCAUCCUCCUGAAGCAGCAUUAAAAGAUCAAAAUUAGAAGAUAGCAAGAGCC
rnacentral:lncRNA from 1 species